GACGAACCGUGCGAACGUUGUUCGGAAUCACUGGGCUUAAAGGGCGCGUAGGCGGCUCCGCAAGUCAGGGGUGAAAUCUUUCGGCUUAACCGGAAAAGUGCCUCUGAUACUGCGGAGCUCGAGGGAGGUAGGGGCGGACGGAACUUCCGGUGGAGCGGUGAAAUGCGUUGAUAUCGGAAGGAACGCCGGUGGCGAAAGCGGUCCGCUGGCCCUCUACUGACGCUGAGGCGCGAAAGCCAGGGGAGCAAACGGG
rnacentral:rRNA from 1 species